rnacentral:rRNA from 1 species
GCAGCCGCGGUAAUACGUAGGUGGCGAGCGUUAUCCGGAAUUACUGGGUGUAAAGGGUGUGUAGGCGGGAUGUCAAGUCAGGUGUGAAAUUCACGGGCUCAACUUGUGAACUGCACUUGAAACUGAUAUUCUUGAGAGUGGGAGAGGUAAACGGAAUUCCUGGUGUAGUAGUGAAAUGCGUAGAUAUCAGGAGGAACACCGGUGGCGAAGGCGGUUUACUGGACCACAACUGACGCUGAGACACGAAAGCGUGGGGAGCAAACAGGAUUAGAUACCCC